AAUCUUGGCCAGGUUCGUUUUCUUAACCCUUAUCUUUUCGGCAGACAAAUUUCACAUCCUCCACUAACCCGCCUACCACCACACCCAACAGCUUCCGGAACAGAAGUCUACCUCCUCGAUGAAAAAAAUAUUAUUCAUCUUGAAUAAAAAUAACAUCCAACAACACUUGCCCAGCACGUUUUAUUAAACCCAGACCACCUCUCAUCUGCAUUCUGUAACAAUAGCAGACGUCAUGCUUUCAAAAUUUGAUUGAUUUAAUUGACACCCCUACUCAUUUUAGUGGUUGUGAUUGGACAAAUCGAACCAAUCUAUUUGUCCAACCGUUACACUUACACGUGACAUCUACUUUCAUUUGACAAACGGUGCAAGCAAAGGGUUAAGUAAUCCGGCAACUGAUUAGCUCCAUCAAUAAGUGGAUUGUUACACGCGGGCUUCAUUUCAACCGUCUCUCACUGGGUUUAAACAAAUUAAAUUACUCGCGUCUGUAAACAGUCAUUCAGCCUUAGAAAGAGCAAGCGACGCUUUGAGGAUUUGCUAUUUACCCCUCAACAGACCAGAAGUAGUGUGUGAUCUUUUCGCAAAGAUAUUUGAUAAUGAAUACGUCAUCCGUGCUUCUCACCCUACUUCUCGCCCAAUUCUACACGGCAUAUCUGUACCACAGCUCGACUCGAGCCUGGCGAUGUCCGAUAGAAUUGAUGAUUACCUAGCCCAGACCGCAAAGCCUUCCACAUGUUACAACUGCUUCAGACGAUGCAAGAGUCGGGCGGCCGAGGCAAGCCACUAUAAAUGUGCACGAUUUAUAAACUGGGGCUACUCAAAGUACACCGCUUGUCUCGAUAGUUAUUACAUGACAGCCAUUGAAUACUGUAUGAAGAAAUGCUAGACUGUGAAGGAGCCGGACCGGGGUCUCUUAAACCGAUAUAAUAAAAUUCGAGACAUUAAGAACAACUUGAGAUUGAGGUAAUAGACACAGUUGGGCAAUUAAUGGUUCUUACGGAUCGUCUCAUGACUUUUAUACAAACUAAUUUUAAUUAUUCAAGAAUGCAAAAAGGGAAAAUGGUUGUAAAUCUAUUAGCUAACUUAGGCGCUAUAAGAUUUUCCUUUGUACAUUGAAUCGAUGUUUUUUUCUGUUAUAUAACAACAAACAGCGUUUGUUUUUAUUAGGGACCUUGUCCUUGAUAGAGCUCACUCGACAUCUAUCAUAAGAAGUGUUUUGAAAAUGGAAGUUGUUCUGAUUUA